AGCUUUGCGCAGUGGCGAUAUCGUAACCAAUAAGGUUCUGCCGAGGUGCGAUUAUUACUAGUUGAAAACUAGAAGUG